CCUCUUGCCAUCGGCGGUAGAGGCUGCUCGGGAGCCGCCAUUUCCCACAGAGAAACUGCAACACGGAAAGCGAAGAGGCCGCAGUGAAAAUGAGCUAAUCAACAGAAGCUGGGGAUAAAUGAGUAUUUUUCCGCCUCGCGCUAAGGAUUCUGGAAACAGAGAAAUACCGCGAUAGAGAGUCACUUUCUCGCGAGACUUGCAUCCGUGACGGAUGUCUCUUCGGAAACCGGUUUCUAAAAAUGAAGAACUAGGUUCCAAACGAAGGGAAAGCAAAGUGGUUUUAAAUUACAGGUAGCUGCUGAAGAUUUGGUGGCAGCAGUGGGAUCCGAAGCAAACCUCCAUCAAAAUUCAGGGAUAAUGAGAAACAGAAGCAUGGUGCUCUAUGAACCUUGUUGAAUUCACUGUCUUUCUCGCUGUUUCCAAAUGCCGUUGGUUAUAGAAGACUUUCUGGAUCCCAACUCAGAGGAACCUGUUGGGCACAGUCUAAAGCCUGGUGACUGGGUAUUCUGGAAACAUUAUCAAAGAAAGACAGUUCUGGAGCUCAGCUAAAAGGGACCUUACCAACUUCUCCUAACCACUGAUACUGUUGUGAAACUAUAAGACACUGGAGACCUCUGAAUCACAUUGACAAGGAGGAGAAGUAGGUGACAUCAAGCUUGGAAAGAAGUCCGUGGUGAAUGAGGAAGAAUAUGCUGUUAAUGCUCUAAGCCGUAAUCAAUUAAAGACCCACUUGUGAAGGAGCCAUUGUUUGCAGCUCCAUUCAGUUGCUGAGUUGUCUUUUAGGCUGCCCAUGCGGAAACCCUGGUAAGGUGAUGAGAAAGUUCAAAGCACCUAACUUUGCAAUGUGGAUUUUGUUAUUGAAACUUCUCUUUAUAUUUUUAUUCAUUUAAAAAAAUGUAGUAUAUGUAGUGUAUAUGUUCAUUGGUUAUUUCAAGAAAGAGAAGGGACUUAACAUAACAAAGGAUGAAAAUGAUCUCAUGACAUAAUUCUGUGCAACUAUUAGAUUACAAUGCCUUAUGAAUUAGUUCAAGAGGAAUCAAUGUUGAAAAUGUUUGCUAAGAAAAUAAAUAAUAGUACUUCUUCAUAAGUCUGUUGAUAGAAAGUGAGAGUGCUUUCUUCAACAUUCAGUCAUUAUUUUUGGCAUGACUGCCAUUUUGUUUUUGUUCUCAACUCUCCCUACUUCUCUAAUUUCAACUAGACAGUAGUAUUACCACUGAAGUGUAGUCAGUAUUUAGUCUUGAUUGCCAGAUUUGGGAGACUGUUGGAACUUUGCUAAAGAGGCAGAUAUAAAAAUAUUUCAGAUAGAAUUUGGCAUAAAUGAUUUAAAGACUUAACAAGAUAAAAAUGAAUUAAUAUUAAAUAUUUAAUGCUAUUGAUAUAUAUAGAACUGGAGGGAGUAAACAAAUAAUAUAGUAAUAAAAGUUACUUAAUGCAUGAAAGUAAAUCCUCAUAGAGCAAGCCUAAGGACUAAAAAAGAAAUUACAUAAUGUUAUUCUUAGAACCUCACCUUGUCAGAGUAGGAAUCUGACUUUUGGGUCACCCUUAAUCUUUUGCUUUCUAGGCAAAAAUGGGCCAAAUUUCUUCCCUGACUACCUAAAAAAUAACCUGUCAUAGGCCUAGGGGAAGUCACAUUCAACUAUAGUCAUAUUCAAGUCAAAUAUAAAAGAUUUUGGAAUGGAAAUAUAGGAAUGAAGUGAUCCAACAAGAAUGUUUUCUUUCCUAAGAUUUCCUUUGCUUUUCUAGAUCAAAUAAAGAAAAUAAGCAUUUUAGGAAUACAAUUCAAUAAAACUGCCGAGUCUGUCACUGUUAUACAAACUCCUAGGCCUCUCUCUUUUCCUUGAGUGACAUGUCUGGGGAGUUUAUAAGGAAGAGCCUCAGUGUCCAGACCAGCCACUCUACAGAUGACUCAGGACACCUUUGCUAAAUCCAUUCAUUACCCUGGCCCCUAGUGGGAGUUACAAGCGAAGCCUGCCAAUUAGAUGUUGGUAAUGUGGACUCUGCUUUAGGGAAUUGGGUAAGACUGCCAGAAUUCAUUCCUGAACUUUAGCAGCCACAAAAGAGUAUUUUUCUGUCGUCUGUAACCGAUUCAAAACCAGGUCUCAAAAGGACAAGCUUCCUUUUGUGCCCCAUCUUUCCUAAAGUCCAAUGACUAAUAAUGUUACAACAUCAGGUUUUUCACAAGAUCACAGGAAACAUCUGACGAAGGAGAAGCAAAGAAAAAAAUGUCAUUGUUUGACUUGAUUAGCCUUUGUUUAACUCUGUUUUCUAAUAUUAGAACAUUCUUUUUGGAAAUAAUUACAUGGUAAUUUAUCACAAACUAAUGGUACUUUAUUGUUAAAUGAGAGAUUAAACCUGGGUUGUGUCAAGAGUCAUAAAAUAAAAAUAAAAUAAAAAGCUUUCCAUAAUGAAGGUUGUGAAUGAAGAAAUUAAUGUAAGUUCCUAUUUAACACUGCUUGCCCUCGCCUUGAAAAAAUAUUUCCAAAAUCCUAUCCUGAGGCUGUAUUGGCAUCACUACUUCCUUCUCUGCUAAUAAACACACAUAAGGGUGAGUGUUUUGCUUUCAAGUUCAUUGACAUUAUUAUUGUUUUUAAUUUUUUUUUUUACAUUUUAGUCUAUUUGAAUGCUUGGGUGAUGUUUUGAAAUUAUUGAGGGGCAGCAGUAGAUUUUCUUAAUAAGGAUUCUGUGAACUUAAAUAUCUGAUUAGUAGAAUGAACAAAUCUUGGAAAAUGUUCAAGUCAUUUUGUGGAAAAUGUCAGAGAACUCUAAACAGUAGGAAUUUUAGGUAGUAAAUUCAUAGUCAGCCCCUGUAGACUGUAAUAAGAAAGAUGUGACUCUGUAUCUCUGUACGAGAUGUUUUGUUUUUGUUGUUGUUUGUUUGUUUUAAAACAAUGUAUUAUUUUGGCUUCUGGUCCUAAUUUUACUUUAGAAAUUAUUUUUGAUAUGCUUCAGACAGGAGCUUUCUGUCCAGGUCUUGAAUGCAAGUAUUAUAUCUUUGUUUUGUAUUCUUGUGCAAAUAUAUUUUAUUGGGAACCUAUUUCAAAAUGCUUGUUAAACAUAUGAGCUUAGUCACAUUAAUGUAGUCAAGUGCUGUAACUGUACGGGCAGAUAUUGGAACAGAGGAACCUAUGUCUCAUACUCAUGGCUGCAGCUCACUGAUGAGAGAGGUUUCCUUCAUCAGCUCACUGCCUAUGCGCAUGCUACACUGCGUACACACUUAUUUCUUUCUGCUGUCACACACAUACACACACACACACACACACACACACACAUGCACCUAUAAUUUAGGGGGAAAAACCCACAUUUGUCAUAAAGCUUAGGAGUUAAGAGUAAGAGAGUAAGGCCAGGAUAGUAACUGUUCAGAACUUGAAUGAAUUGCUGGUUUUCACCAAGUAAACUAACUGGCUGGCCUUCUCAGGCAGGCUCCAAAUUCCUGUUGAAAUGAAGACUUUCUUUCCUGGACUAGGCCUGGCAUUCCUGGGAAACAAUGGCCCUUUUCAAAUAGGCUCUGAAAUUUCACAGGUGAAGGGAGAGGGGCAGUCAUUUGAUCCCACCCACAAGAAGCCUGUUAGUAUUUUAAAAAGUGAAGACAGAGCCUAUCAUGGAAAUGCAGGCAAAGCUGGCUAGUGGCUAAGAGCUGCAAUCUAGAUCCACAGUUUUGCAGAUCUCUGUGAAAUAUGAAUCAAUUUCAGUGUUCUGUCUUUGACUCACAUUGCAACUCUUUUUCUAGAUUUUCUUAAGAGCAGACUACAGAAUCACUGAAAUGGGGUUUUAUUUUGUAGCAUGUGUUAAGGAAGAGCAGUAUUCAAGUUUUUCCUUAAUUAGGAACUAACAUUAGAAUUUAUUUAAAAAAAAGAUUAAAUUGCUGGGGCGUCUGUGUGAUUUUGGAAAACAUGCAGGGUAAAAAUAUUACAUAGAGUUACAGAAAUAUAUAUAAUUACAUAUAUAUGUAAUAAUUUUACCUUGUAUCCUUUCCAAAAUGGUUUUCAAUUAGGCCUAAUUAUAUUAUAAUUGAAUAAUUUAAAAAUUCAGAAAUGUUCAGAUAAUUUUGGAAUCCCAUAUGAAAGUAUAUAUAACAUCCAAUUUGAAAGAAUUUGGGCAUAUUGAUCACCACACUUAACAAGUACAAUUAAUAUCAGAUGUAUUUCAUAGGUUUUAUGGAAACUUAUUUGACUAGACCUUUCAGUGAUUGUGUGAGAUAAACUGAGGGUUAAAAAAAAUCUUUUUUUAAUUUUAUUUAUUUGUGAGAGAGAGAGCGAGUGCAAGUGUGCAAGGGGCAGAGAGAGAAGGAGACACCAUCAGAAGCAGGCUCCAGGCUCUGAGCUGUCAGCACAGAGCACAACAUGGGGCUGGAACCCAUGAACCAUGGGAUCAUGACCUGAGCUGAAGUCCAACGCUUAACUGACUGAGCCACCCAGGCGCCCCAAACUGAGGGUUUUAGUAUUCAGUUACAUGGGUGAGAAAAUAAUAAAAGUUCAGAUUGUGAUAUUUAUCAUUAAUAAAAUACAUUUUAUUAGGCACUCCUUUAUGCAAGAAACUGAAUUUUUCCAUUUGUAUUUGUUUUAAUAAUCCUUAAUAACUGCCUCAAGAUUGAUAAUGCACCCAGUAUUUAACAGAAGACUUAUUUUAGACAUAAAUUACUUAAGACUCAGAAAAUAAUUGAUUUUUACUUAAGAAUAAAUAAUAGAACAUUUUAUGAAAUUGUCACUCUAAAUUACAUAGUUCUUUUCUAAUAAACCCAAUUAACCUGGUCAUUAUGUAACAAUAUAGUAUUUUGAAACAUUUUUCCUGAUAUUUUGGUUAUUAUAUGGUGUAUUCUCCCCCACCCUACGCUCCCCUCUCAACCCUGGCCCCAAUUCUAGCAGCAACCAGGGUGUUCUGAGCUUAUAUCCUAGAAAAGGGAUGAAACAAUAGAAUAACAACAAUAAAAUGAAAGUAUUGGUGUUUGACUUUCAAAUGCAAAAAUAAAAAGGAAUUUUUAAAACACACACACAAAGCAAAUAAUAGGAGAAAAAAGCCAAGGUGCAAAAAUAAACUAACUAUACCAAUCAAAACUAGUUUUCCCAACCCACCAAGAAAAAUUUUUUGUUGGAGAAGAGGACAAGAAGCAGAGGAUAAAGAGCAUUUUGAUAUUGGUGGAUCACUUGAUAAGAGAGUCUAUGUACCUUGUUUCCCCAACUAUUGGGUUAAUGGGAAUUAACAAUAGAUCAAUCUCAAAAAUUUGGGAUUCUAAGAGACCUGAUAUUUCUCAAGUGGAGUUUAGAGACGUGUCAAGCUGUAUACUUUGUAUCUACCCUACUCUUCCUCUACCCUCAUCUAUACACUCUCCCCCUUGCAUGUAUAGGAACAAAAGAGUACAGAUGGAUGGGGUAUUCAAGACACAGCUCUAAGAUAGCCUCUUAGAAUCUCUUGCUCCUUUAAUAUAGCCUAGAGAGCAAAAGUAUGUUUUUCCAUUAAGUUGAGAGCAGCACAGGGAGGGAGCAAGGAACCAACAGAUGGUAGGAGGGGUUAUUUUGAGGAAGAGGAAGAUGCAGCUGUCAUACACAAGGGCAAAUGACAGAAAAUAUAGAAGAGAAAAAAAGUACCCCAUGAUGGAAAUUAGUGUGAAGUGACCAUUAAGAACCAUAUAAAACUUUCUAAUUAUGUGAUACUAAGAGCUUUGCAACUUAGAUAUAACCUCAGUGAAGGGUUUGUAGGUACAAAGGUAAGUAACUAAAAUGAUUGAGAUUACUCUAAAUUGACCAAGAUUAUUUUUACUACCCAGCAAAACAGGGGGGAGGGGGGCACAGAAUAGAAAUUGUUUAUGUAUAGAAAAAUAAAGUUAGUACUUUUGCACACUUGAAUUUUAAGGAUUAGAAGUUAGACCCUCUGUACUUAUUAUAAAGAACAAAAUUCAAAGAAGGACAUCUAAGUUCACUGCUUUUAUUUUUCAUUGCUUCAUUUAUCCUUAUUGUCCUACAACCUUAUUUGAACUCACAUUAGAACGUCCAGCUAUCUAGUGGUGCCCCAAGCCUGGAGGCAGAUGCUCACCUCAUCUAUCUAGAGGAUGAAAAAAGGCUGACUAGCUGCUUGGUGUAGAGGCAGGAGAUUAUUGCUAUUGCUUUGAGACUAGCAUAUUCUCCUAGAACCUGCUAUGACAAAGGAUAUGUGAAUGGACCAGACAUGGGCCCUUAGGAAAGAGAGCUGGGUCGAAGCCAUUUAAGGGCUGCUGAAGAGGACCAGCCUGGAUUGUUGAAAGGACUCCAAUAGUGUGAGAUUGUGGGAGGGAGUCUCCAGGGAAAUUAGAGACUGGACAAAGAGUAUUCAGCCAGGAGAAUGAAACACCACAGCUAUGGAAACCUCCAAAGUAUCCAUGCAAUCAUCCCAUCAGAAAUUAGGGCUUUAACUACAUAUCAAGCACAGAGAAUAUGGCACAAUCAGCCAAGGAAAAACAUUUGUUCUUCUAUAUUUCCUGCUUUAUUUGACCCUGGAAGAAUCUGAAAAAGCUGCUAGCUAGUGAGGAAGGAGGAAGGCAUAUGAGGAAAAAGAGCAAAGGACAAUCAAGCAUUCUAAUUAUUUUGAGGCAGCCAACUAUAGACCUUGGCCUUGGGAAGGAGAAGAAGUCUCAGUUUGAAUAGCUAUUGAAACAUUGAUUAAUAAUCUGGAUUGUAUAUAUUAUGAUUUUUGAAGUGAGACAAUGUUUUGGGUCUUAAGGGAUCAUAGGACUGCUUACUACCUAAGAGUAAGCUGGAAAGUAAUGAGACCUAGCCAAUUUUACAUCCAAGGGCGGGGAAGGUUUCCCACAUUGAAUAAAUUUUAAGGAAGUAUUGAAGAUAAAACAGAAUUGUUACUUUAAUUUAUUCUAUAAGUCUUAUCUUCAGUAUACUAAUUAUAUAUCUUACAAAUAAUGCACAAAAUACUGUGCAAUCACAAAUAGUGGGUAAAUUACUCCUGUACUUGGAUAGGGAGCAUUGUCCGGCAGUAUAAACAAGGACUUGCUGGAGCGUUGUUUUAUAUUUAGCUCUAUUACCUUUAUUUACUGGGUUACCUUACAUCACAAUGUUUCUUAAUUUCAGUUUUUUUCAUAUAAGAAUAAAUAAAAAUGUAAUAAUGCUACGUAAAAUGGCUUUUGCUUCAAAUGAGCUAAUAUAAAUCAAAUGUGAUAAUGUAAUCAAUACAUUUUGAACACAAGUGCAAUACAUAUAUAGUAUUAUAUUGUUAAAAAUAAUAAUGGCCACUCUCUUAGGGCAUUUUAUGAACUCAAACUAUUUUGUUAAAGGAAAGAUUUUUUGGUUUUUUAGUUUUUUUUUUUUUUUUAAUUUGAAUGUUUGGAGCACCUGGGUGGCUCAGUCGGUUGAGCAUCUGACUUCGGCUCAGGUCAUGAUCUCACAGUUUGUGGGCUCGAGCCCCGCAUCAGGCUCUGUGCUGCCGCUUGCUCAGAGCCUGGAGCCUGCUUCAGAUUCUGUGUCUCCUUCUCUCUCUGCCCCUCCCCCACUCACACUUUGUCUCACUCUGUUUCUCAAAAAUAAAUGUAAAAAAAAAUAAAAAAUAAAAAAAUAAAUAAAUUUGAAUGUUUAUGUUCAUAUGCAUUUCAGACAUUUUUGCAACACUGUGAAACACUUUGAAACAAUGUGUGUAGUAGACACACAUCCUUUACUUGUGAUUUAUGAUGAAAAUUUAUCAUUUUGUUUCUUCCUGUUUUUUGACAGAAUCUCAAAAUGAGAUUUUUUUGUCUCAAUUUUAAGGCUUACAAAGAUUGACAAUAAAAUAAUAGGUGAUAACCACGUCUAAUAUUUAUUAGUGAAUAUAAAUAUAUAUAUAUAUACUUGUACAUAAAUACUGGUAUAAAAUAUAUACAAGUAUA